rnacentral:rRNA from 1 species
UACGAAGGGGGCUAGGGUUGUUCGGAAUCACUGGGCGUAAAGCGCACGCAGGCGGAUCGAUAAGUCGGGGGUGAAAGCCCGGGGCUCAACCUCGGAAUUGCCUUCGAUACUGUCGGUCUCGAGUCCGGGAGAGGUGAGUGGAAUUCCUAGUGUAGAGGUGAAAUUCGUAGAUAUUAGGAAGAACACCAGUGGCGAAGGCGGCUCACUGGCCCGGUACUGACGCUCAGGUGCGAAAUCGUGUGGAGCAAACAGG